GAGGUCACGCGCGCUGUUCUCGCCAAUAGGCAGCGGCCGCUGGAGCCCCGUGGGUCUCGCGGGAGCGCGCGGUGGUAUUUAAUGGCCUGCGAGGAGCUACUCGGCCUUUCUGUCUGCCGGCUGUGUGCGCGUGUGUCCCGAGGAAGCGGCGAGUCCUUCAAAUGCUCCCGAUGGGCAGAAGGCCCAGCGCGGCAGGCCUGGGCAGGGGCAGCGCUGGCGGUCUGCGCUCACGCCCUUGGACGCCUAUGGGUGAGGGGCGCACCGAGCUCAACGCUCCUCCUACAGCCUGGGGCUGAGGCCUCACAUAGCAACCUGACGCUUGAAGUGUUUUAGACAUGGGUAAUCACACCUAAAUGUGAAGCAAUGCUCAGGACUUCUUAGGAAUAAAUAAUGCCUUCUACUGGAAGGGAUGAAGACAGCGUGUGCCAGGAACUGACAUUAAACAUCAGUUUAUGAUUUCCUCAGUGGGUGAUUUCUAACUUCAUAUGCGAUGAUUCCAGUUGGCACCUCUAAGCAUUGUCUUGGAAGUAGAAUUGAGAAUGGCUAAAAUGAUGUCUUCAAUGAUCAUCUUGAAACCAGCAUCUCACCAUUUGUUGAAACCUAACAAAAACUGCUCUAAUUUGACUGUGUUUGUGGGUUAAUUGAAAUAAAUUAUGAGUAUUAUAAAAAAUGAGAUAAUGCUACCGAAAGAUUGUAUUAUGCAAGUUUUUUGUGAAGGUACUUUCUGUACGAAGACUUUUUCAUAAAUGUAAACACUUUUGUGCUGUCACACAGAAACAUUCUCUUGCCAUAUCCAGACUUAAUAAGCUUAAUCUUCAAUUUACAAAUCCAAUGAAAAGGCCCUCUUAAUCUUUUAUUCCUGGUAUCUGACUAUUUUGAAGUAUUAUGUAAUGCAAAAGUCCCGAGAUCAAUUAGCUAAUUCCUAAGUUAUUUCAUUACACUGUAAUGAAAUACCUGAAUGAAAUGUGUUUAGAUGUCUCAGACUGUAAGAACAAGAUACAAAGAAUCCCAUUCCUUGCCUAUUUUUAAUUAAAAAGGAAAAUGUUGCAAUGUUCCAUGUUAAGCACUAUCAGUGAGAAGGUCCUUAAAAAACAAAAUUAUUUUUGAGCAAUUGAAAGCUUCUAUACACUUUUAAGUAGCUUAUAUCUUAAUACUGAAAGCGUUUUUCUAAAUGGUAAGUCUUAAAAUAAUUCUGUGCAUCCUAUUACUGCCAGUGCUUCCCUAGAAUGCUCAAGCAAGGGUAUAAAAUAGUCAGAAGUGGCUGUCAGGUGCUUACCACUGCCUAGACAGGACGAUGAGUUGGUGUGGAUUUAGGAACAAAUGUACAUAUUUACACAUGUGGUCAUAUUGAGCCCCCAUCUAGACGGGAAAUAUUUCUUUCUACCUUUGCUUAAAUAUACACUAAAAUAGAUGAGUAAUGGUCUCCUUGUGGCCUAGGCUCACCUAAGUCUGCUUGUUUUAUAAGAGACAAUACUAAAAUUUGAAGGGUAUACAGAAGUACUUUCUCUUUGUGAAGUUAAGCUUGACGAGUGUCCCUCUCCUAAGAAACAAUAAUUUCUUAUAAGUCUUGUCAGUUGUAUAGACCUUUUCUGUGGCUAUGCUAAAUGAUUAGUUUUUAGUCUAUUCUGUUUUGUGUUAGGGGAUUGUGGUUUUAUGUCUGCCCUGUGCAAGAUUUCUAAUUUGCCUUUCUCAGGUUCGGUGUUUAAUGAUAUUCAGUACAGACUGAUUUCUGAAUGUUUACUUCUGUUUUCCUUAACCAGUAAGCUUGUUUACAUUUGAUAGUUUGGCAUGAUGUUAUCAGUGAGCUGUCUACACUUCCAGAAUUUCUGAAGGAAUCAAAAGCUAUCCUAGAAUUAGGGUUGGAGUUUUCCUUUCCAGAUUAAUUUAUCAUGCAAUAAAUGGCAUUAAAUUCCAAAUGCUGUUCUAUUCACAAGGAUCUUGUCAGAAUCAAGAUCUAUUGGGGUCUGCAGCCAGGGUUAGUUCUGAAUUUAUUUUUUUUUUUACUACUUUCAUUGCUGUCUACUUUCCACUUUUUUUUAAAUUUCUGUUUCUUAAAAGUUUCAAGAAGUUUUAAUUAAAGUGUUCUAGGAUAUACCUCUUUCUAUUGCUGACAACUAAAGUUUUGGUUUGUGUCGGUAUGUCUGAUGCAGAAGAUAACUUGUUCACAUUAGUGGCUUGCACAUAUAUUGGCACUACGGUAUAAAAGCUUCCCAAUGGAAUCACUGUUAAUGAAGUCAAUUUGCUGCUCCUUUAGAUGAAAUACCCACAUGCCACUAAGUGACAUAGCUGCAUACAAGGUCCAGCCUUUGCUGUUUUAUGAGGCAUCUGGUUAGAAAGGCUAGUAAAAAGAGAGUCUAUUCCAUACAUGAUCUACCAUUCUGAUUUCACACAGCAUAAAUGGAAUAAGUUUAGUGGGUUUAGAACGUCUAGAGAGAGAUCAAGAAUGAAGUAAAGUCUACUUGAGACUCCAUGGUGAACACUAUUAGUUUCAACAAUCUUGUUCUUCAAAUAACUAGGCAAACUUAAGGCAUUAUUCUUUAAAAACUGAUCUGGUUUAAUGCAAAAUUAAAGCAGAGAUAAUAUUUCCAACUAAAGUAUCAAAUUAUUUCACGUAUUAGUAAGACUUUAUAUCUUUUUACAUUUAGCUAUUUGUAAUCAUUAAGUUGGGGCCAUUGUUCCAUGCUGGAAGCUCAUUUUGAAGAAACACUCAUUGGAAUGAUAAAUCACUUGAGAAUGCUUUGUUCUGUGACUUCCCAUUAGUUUUUAUAAGAAAUGUCUUUUCAAUUAACUUUGACUUGCUCCUAUUCCAACUACAGGCUUUUGGGAAUGUAAAUAUGUCAGUUCAGGCAUCACUCACCUAACUACAUUUAUGAUAUAUCACAUUAAAGUAGUGAAGCAAAACAAAGGGAUUAGUAUUAAUCUAGGGUCUAAAUCCAGUACCUUCAUCGGUGUAAAUGAGCUCAUUUACCCAGACCACCACCUUGGGGGACUGUGUGCUUGGGCCUGUGCAGUUCACCUAGAAACCUGGUUGGUUUGAUGAAUGCCAUGCUCUAAGUGUGAAAACAUAUACAAUUCUCCCUUUUAUUACUCAUUGAAAAAGUGAAGACUAAUGGAAGAAAAAUAGCCAGGUUUGCCUGAGAAUAGUCAAGGGCUACUGAGUUGGCUUACAGCCUUGUUAUAGGCUAAAUGACAUGAAACCAUACUUGGUUAUUUUAUACAUUUCUAUAUGUAUGCUUUGUACAACAGGGGUUAUGUGAGAGAUUUGGGGAAAAUUAGAGGGAAGGAUAUAAUGUCGUUUUUAAUCUGUACACUUCUUUUUAUUCUGGCUAUUGAUAGCAAAUGUAGCUGCUUUGGGUUUUCUUUGACUAAAUUUGCAAGGGGGUUAAUACCAAACCCUGAAGAAUAUAAUUCUGGAAUAAUGUGCUUAGCCUUGGACAGUUUUCAAUACACAGGGCUACAGGAAGCAAUAUUGUGUUAUAUUCUGUGCAAGGAUUUGGCAAGGCAUAAAAAUGCUUUUUUGGAGUUGAUUUUGUUGUUGUUGUUUUGGGGGUUUUUUGUUUUGUUUACUUGUGAGACCAUCUUGAAAGUCGGGUACUCUGCAAGAAUUUUAGUUCUGAGGAGCUUAUCAAUAUCAGAGCUUGUGUGACUUCUGUUUAGGAACAGAGAUUUGUGAUCUCAGGGGUUUGUAGUGCAUUGUUUUUAAUAACCUGAAGUUUGGAUGCAGGCAUUAAUUCAUCUUAAAAUAAGCUUUAUGACUCUUUGUGGCCUUACAUUAACAAAUCAGCCUAACUGAUAUUCGAUAGGAAGCUUGGAGGUAAUACUCAAGUAGCAAUGGCUUCUUGCUGUCCUAGCUGUUCUUGAGUUGAUGGUUAGUUGACUGCCUCUUCCCUACUUUUCUUCAUGCUUUCCCUUAAUGUUACAGUUGUAUCCAAGAUAUUCAGUUCAUGCAAAGAGGGUGAGAAUGCUGGCUGAGUGCACUAGAGACAAAGAAACAGUGUGCGUGCAUCCUGUGCAUUCUAGUUCGGAUCAAUGCAGGCAGACAUUUCUUACCACACUAGAGUUUAUGACACGUAAAAAUCCUGUUUAUGCUUGUUACAUCUCAGAUUUAUAUAAGCCACAUUUUCUUAAAAUGUUCUACUUUGGGUUUCAGAUUCAAGUCUCGUUGGAUUUUUCCACACACCAAUACUUUGCUUACCUUGGUAACAUUUGUUGCUGCAGAGAGGACUUUUUCUGUUCAGUGGACUUUGAUGUAAAGCUCAGAGAUUUCCUUCUAUGCUUUGAUAAUAAAAUUCUACAGCUUUGACUCAAUGCAUAAAUAAUGAACACUGUAAAACUCAGAAUACUCAUAAUUUUUCAGUUUAAAAAAUACAGAAGCUGUCAACAAUGACUUGUCAUCUUCAGA